rfam:Peptostreptococcaceae bacterium AS15 ctg120005099223, whole genome shotgun sequence.
UCCAUUUUGAGGUGGAGUCUGAAGAAAGCCUAAUGCAAACUCUCGGCUUGACAAACAAAAAUCACAUAUAAGGUAGUGCGAAGCGGACGAGCUUGAGCACAAAGUAAAGUCAAAUCCUGUCCGAAUUUUGCGGUGUAAGUGUGGCAAGUAGAUGAGAGGAAAGUCAUUAUU